rnacentral:rRNA from 1 species
GUAGUCUCGCACAGAUGCAUAUCAAUAAGCGGAGGAAAAGAAACUAACAAGGAUUCCCCUAGUAACGGCGAGUGAAGCGGGAAGAGCUCAAAUUUGAAAUCUUAAAGGGUUUCCCUUUACGAAUUGUAGUUUAAAGAAGUGUUUUCUGUUGAGGUUUUGGUAAAAGUUCUUUGGAAUAGGACAUCAUAGAGGGUGAGAAUCCCGUAUUUGACCUUUACUUUCAACUUUGUGAUACACUUUCAAAGAGUUGGAUUGUUUGGGAAUGCAGUCCAAAAUGGGUGGUAAAUUUCAUCUAAAGCUAAAUAUUGGCGAGAGACCGAUAGCGAACAAGUACCGUGAGGGAAAGAUGAAAAGAACUUUGAAAAGAGAGUUAAACAGUACGUGAAAUUGUCAAAAGGGAAGCGUUUGACACCAGUGUUGUUUUUCUGAAAAUCAAUUAAAGAACUGUUUAUGCUAAGCUGUUUAGACUUUAUCAGCCUAUCUGCUUAGUUUUGAGCUUUUCUUUAAUGCACUUUUCAGUUAACAAGUCAACAUCAAUUUCUUUUGCUGUAAAAAAGCUUGAGGAAGGUGGCUUGAGAUUCGUCUUAAGUGUUUAUAGCCUCUUGCCUAUGCAGUCGGAGAGAUUGAGGUCUGCAGCGUAGAUCCUUCGGGGCUAAAUGCAUUUGUGCUAAGUUAUAGCAUUUUAUAGACAACUUGUUGACUAUGAUUUGUCUUGUAGCUUACUCGCUUAUGUUAUUUUACCUACGCUUAGGAUGUUGACGCAUGAGAUAUACGC